rnacentral:rRNA from 1 species
ACCAAGUAUAAGAGGUCCAGCCUGCCCAGUGACCACAAGUUCAACGGCCGCGGUAUUUUGACCGUGCAAAGGUAGCGCAAUCACUUGUCUUUUAAAUAAAGACCUGUAUGAAUGGCUAAACGAGGGCUUAACUGUCUCCCAUUUCAAGUCAGUGAAAUUGAUUUACCCGUGCAGAAGCGGGUAUCCACAUACAAGACGAGAAGACCCUUUGGAGCUUAAGGUAAAAACUCAACCACGUCAAGCAACUCAAUAAAAAGCAAUCUUUCUUUAAACCUUGUGGUGAAUGAGACCAUACCUUCGGUUGGGGCGACCACGGAGAAAAACAAAUCCUCCAAGUGGAGCGGGACAAAUCCCCUAAAACUAAGAAAAACACCUCUAAGCCACAGAACAUCUGACCAUAAAUGAUCCGGUCAACCAAGACCGAUCAACGAACCAAGUUACCCUAGGGAUAACAGCGCAAUCCUCUCCCAGAGUCCAUAUCGACGAGGGGGUUUACGACCUCGAUGUUGGAUCAGGACAUCCUAAUGGUGCAGCCGCUAUUAAGGGUUCGUUUGUUCAACGAUUAAAGUCCUACGUGA